CCUCCGGUGACUGCAGCGCCGCCGCCGUUGAGUUCUCAAAUCCUGCUAGCGGCGCGCCUCACUUGAGCCACCCGAUCGGGGACUUGUUGACGAUUCCUCCGCCUGCCCUGCGGAGGACUAAGGAGCUCUUGGUCUGGGAGCAAGCAGGGUAUGUUUCGCCUCUUCCAAUCAGAGUGCUUCUUCAGUUGGUCUCAACUACUGAUGCUAAUGUUAGGUAGCGCCUCACCUGCAGCAAUUGUUGCAUCAUCUGUUUGUUUACCUCACAACUAUCAAGAGUGCAAAGUAGAUGUUGAUUCAUAAAUAUAUUCAUAGUCACAAAUUGAUGAUGAUUAACUGCCAGCCCAACUGGAAUCAUAAAAUGGACUGCACAUAUAAACUAGUAUUGGGCACUCAGAUUCAAAGAAGAAAUUGCAAAGUUCUUUUGGAUUCUUGUUUAUAAGAUAACAAUGGUCAACCAUUAGUCCUAGUCUCUUUCUUCUGUCCUGCCUUGUACCAAAUGCUCAGGGAUCCUAUCGUGUAUUGUAUUGUAGUGGGAAUGUCGCAAUUAUUAUUGUAUUGUAUUGUAUUGUAUUGUCCCCCUGUAGUUUGUACUGCCCCUGUAGUUUGUUUGUAAAAAUAUGAAGUACUUCUUGCUUGAUCGAUCACUGUAGGCCCCUUAUCACUGUAGUUUGUUUGUAAAAAUGUUACUGCUGCUUGUCAUUUUAGCAAUCUUGCUUGUCAUUUGAUCGAUCACUUCUUCUGGAUCCUUAUCACUGUAGGCCCCUGUAGUUUGUACUGCUCUCGGGUCAUCAAGAACGUCCGGUGCCGGUAGCUCAAGUAACCUGAACUCCUCACAGCAGAGUUUCUCCAUAUGUAAGCUUGCUGCAUAUAUGUCAUUUCAGGGAGAAAAAUACAAAGAUGAACACACUGCAUUAGAUUUGUUUAAAGAAUACCACUACAGCAACUAGAAGAAAGGGUACAACAACACCAUACAAUCUGCAGUUGUAAGUCAGGGUUUGAAGAGUGCUAACCAUGUCACAAUGCUUACUUUUUUCAGUAGAUCCUGUAGUACAAUAAUCAGUAAUUAUAAAGUCAUACUAAAGAGAGGUAGAAGAAUAAUGUGACUUUGAAACAAUUGAGCACAUAUCACUUGGCAACGGUUGGAUGAUUUAUGACACUUCCAUAUCAUAUCUUGCUACAUGGGUUCAAUUUAUUUUAUCCAUUUUGGGCAGUUUUCAUGAUGGUGUAUUGUGUAUGCCCUUGCUAUAUUUGAUUCCAUUAUUUCUUAGAAGAUUACUUGAACCUAAUCUUUUGCAUAAUUAGAUGUCUUCAUCUGUACAUCAUAUACAUACAUGUGAUCAAACCAAGGGAGAUCAUGUUUGUUUGUUGCUUGCAUUGCUAAAAAACAGUAGCUACAAUUUGUAAAAAGCAUGUUAUAGAAACUUUGCCAUGUUAUAGGAACUUUUAUCUAAGAGUUUGUUACUUGCAUUGCUAAAAAACAGUAGCUACAAUUUGUAAAAAGCAUGUUUGUUGCUUGCAUUGCUAAAAAACAGUGGCAAAUUUUUAUCUAAGAGUUUGUUCUAUUUGUAUUUAUCUAAAGAUUAGCAUGGCAAUUUUCUACAUGGCACAAUCUUUUAGCAUGGCAAAAUAUAGGAUGAUAGCAUCCUAAUUUUUUCAUAUGGCAAAUAUGAAGAAAAGCAUCAACCUAUACCUGAGGAAAAAAUCUGCAGCUAGUGACCUGUGCAAAAAACAGAAAA